UACAGCCAUGUCGUGUUGAAACAUUGGUUCCUGUAUGAUCAUUGAUGUUAAGCAAUAUCGACCCUGGCCAGUACCUAGAUGGGUGACCACUUGGGAAUAUCAGAUGCUGUAA